rnacentral:rRNA from 1 species
AUUGAACGCUAGCGGGAUGCUUUACACAUGCAAGUCGAACGCGUGGCGGACGGGUGAGUAAUAUAUCGGAACGUGACCAGUAGCGGGGGAUAACUACUCGAAAGAGUGGCUAAUACCGCAUAAUAUUGGAGCGGCCGAUAGGGGAUUAGCUAGUUGGUGGGGUAAAGGCUAACAAAGGAGACGAUCCGUAGCUGGUUUGCGAGGAAGACCAGACACAUGGGGACGGGGACACGGCCCAGACUCCUACGGGAGGCAGCAGUGGGGAAUUGUGGACAAUGGGGGAAACCCUGAUCCAGCCAUCCGGCGUGUAUGAGAAGGCCUGCGGGUUGUAAAGUACUUUUGGCAGAGAGGCGGUAUCUUCAGAAUAAGCACCGGCUAACUACGUGCCAGCAGCCGCGGUAAUAC